AUGGCUGUCGUCAGCUCGUGUCGUGAGAUGUUGGGUUAAGUCCCGCAACGAGCGCAACCCUCGUUCUAUGUUGCCAGCGGGUUAUGCCGGGGACUCAUAGGAGACUGCCGGGGUCAACUCGGAGGAAGGUGGGGAUGACGUCAAAUCAUCAUGGCCCUUACGACCAGGGCUACGCACGUACUACAAUGGGGGGUACAGAGGGUAGCGAAGCCGCGAGGUGAAGCCAAUCCCAGAAAACCCCUCUCAGUCCGGAUCGCAGUCUGCAACUCGACUGCGUGAAGUCGGAAUCGCUAGUAAUCGCGAACCAGCAUUGUCGCGGUGAAUACGUUCCCGGGCCUUGUACACACCGCCCGUCACACCAUGGGAGUUGGUUGCUCCAGAAGCAGGUAGUCUAACCGGUCGCAAGACUGGAGGACGCUUGCCACGGAGUGGUCAAUGACUGGGGUGAAGUCGUAACAAGGUAGCCGUAUCGGAAGGUGCGGCUGGAUCACCUCCUUUCGAGAACGACAUGGAUUCAUUCCAUGGCGUCCACACAAGACACCUGCAUAUCCAGAAUUAGACGCACGUCCCAACGGGGGCUGUAGCUCAGCUGGGAGAGCACCUGCUUUGCAAGCAGGGGGUCACCGGUUCGAUCCCGGUCAGCUCCACCAGAUCUAAGAUCUUUGGGUCUGUAGCUCAGGUGGUUAGAGCGCGCCCCUGAUAAGGGCGAGGUCGGUGGUUCGAGUCCUCCCAGACCCACCAGUAUCUUUACGCGGUUCCCUCCGCGGGGCUGGAAGAAGAACCGCACAUCCGUGUGCGGACUCAUCAACAACAGCCUUCUUCUAACACUUCUUCUGGAUAACUGCGCACACGAAAAGAAUUUGAAGCGGUCAGGCGUUGAGGCCUGACUGUGUUCUUUGACAAUUUGGGACGUAACAAGCGUCUGAACUUUUAUCGAGUUUAGAUGUGUCGUUGAGGCAAUUAGGCGAAAUACAGUUGAACGUAUGAUCUGGAGGCGACUUCGGGUUAUAUGGUCAAGCGAAUAAGCGUCUACGGUGGAUGCCUUGGCGGUCAGAGGCGAAGAAGGACGUGGCAGCCUGCGAAAAGUCUCGGGGAGCUGGCAACAAGCUUUGAUCCGGGAAUAUCCGAAUGGGGAAACCCGG
rnacentral:sRNA from 1 species